CAGCCGCCACGGGAAUACAGAGGGUGCGAGCGUUAAUCGGAUUUACUGGGCGUAAAGCGUGCGUAGGUGGUGGUUUAAGUCCGUUGUGAAAGCCCUGGGCUCAACCUGGGAAUUGCAGUGGAUACUGGGUCACUAGAGUGUGGUAGAGGAUAGUGGAAUUUCCGGUGUAGCAGUGAAAUGCGUAGAGAUCGGAAGGAACAUCUGUGGCGAAGGCGACUAUCUGGGCCAACACUGACACUGAGGCACGAAAGCGUGGGGAGCAAACAGGAUUAGAUACCCCCGUAGUCCCUGUCUCUUAUAC
rnacentral:rRNA from 1 species